UAAGGAAUAUUGGUCAAUGGACGCAAGUCUGAACCGGCCAUGCCGCGUGGAGGAUUAAGGCCCUCUGGGUUGUAAACUCCUUUUAUCUGGGAAGAAAUGUACUUUUUCUUGAGUACUUGACGGUACCAGAGGAAUAAGCACCGGCUAACUCCGUGCCAGCAGCCGCGGUAAUACGGAGGGUGCAAGCGUUAUCCGGAUUCACUGGGUUUAAAGGGUGCGUAGGUGGGCAGGUAAGUCAGUGGUGAAAUCUCCGGGCUUAACCCGGAAACUGCCGUUGAUACUAUUGGUCUUGAAUAUUGUGGAGGUGAGCGGAAUAUGGCAUGUAGCGGUGAAAUGCUUAGAUAUGACAUAGAACACCAAUUGCGAAGGCAGCUUACUACACAAUCAUUGACGCCGAGGCGCGAAAGCGUGGGGAUCAAACA
rnacentral:rRNA from 1 species